rnacentral:rRNA from 1 species
AUUGAACGCUGGCGGCAGGCCUAACACAUGCAAGUCGAGCGGAUGAAGGGAGCUUGCUCCUGGAUUCAGCGGCGGACGGGUGAGUAAUGCCUAGGAAUCUGCCUGGUAGUGGGGGAUAACGUCCGGAAACGGGCGCUAAUACCGCAUACGUCCUGAGGGAGAAAGUGGGGGAUCUUCGGACCUCACGCUAUCAGAUGAGCCUAGGUCGGAUUAGCUAGUUGGUGGGGUAAAGGCCUACCAAGGCGACGAUCCGUAACUGGUCUGAGAGGAUGAUCAGUCACACUGGACCUGAGACGCGCUCCAGACUCCUACGGGAGGCGGCGGGGGGGAAUUGUGAACAAGGGGAAAAGGCCUAACCCACCCAUGCCGGGGGUGGAAAGAAGGUCUUGGGAUUGUAAAGCAUUUAAGGUUGGGAGGAAGGGAAUUAAUUUAAUACCUGUCUGUUUUGACGUUACCAAAAAAAAAGCACCCGGCUAACUUCGUG